GGAGUUAGCCGGUGCUUCUUCUGUGAGUGAUGUCCUUCCUGCCGGCUAUUAACCCGCAGGCCUUCUUCCUCACUGAAAGUGCUUUACAACCCGAAGGCCUUCUUCACACACGCGGCAUGGCUGGAUCAGGGUUGCCCCCAUUGUCCAAUAUUCCCCACUGCUGCCUCCCGUAGGAGUCUGGGCCGUGUCUCAGUCCCAGUGUGGCUGAUCAUCCUCUCAGACCAGCUACGGAUCGUCGCCUUGGUGAGCCGUUACCUCACCAACCAGCUAAUCCGACAUAGGCUCAUCCGAUAGCGCGAGGCCCGAAGGUCCCCCGCUUUCCCCCGUAGGGCGUAUGCGGUAUUAGCCUGGGUUUCCCCAGGUUAUCCCCCACUACCGGGCAGAUUCCUAUGCAUUACUCACCCGUCCGCCGCUCGCCACCAGGGAGCAAGCUCCCCGUGCUGCCGCUCGACUUGCAUGUGUUAGGCCUGCCGCCAGCGUUCAAUCUGAGCCAUAAUCAAAACCUCUAGA
rnacentral:rRNA from 1 species